UACAGAGGUCCCAAGCGUUGUUCGGAUUCAUUGGGCGUAAAGGGUGCGUAGGUGGCGCCGUAAGUGGGGUGUGAAAUUUCGGAGCUUAACUCCGAAACUGCAUUCCAUACUGCGGUGCUUGAGGACUGGAGAGGAGACUGGAAUUUACGGUGUAGCAGUGAAAUGCGUAGAGAUCGUAAGGAAGACCAGUGGCGAAGGCGGGUCUCUGGACGAGUUCCU
rnacentral:rRNA from 1 species